rnacentral:rRNA from 1 species
AUGCUAUCAUCCAGCAAAGAAUGGAAUGUUGAGCUCGUGAAACAAAUUUUCCAUACUUUCGAUGCGGAAGAAAUCUGCAAAAUUCCCAUCCCAAAGUGUUAUGCAGAAGACCGAGUUGCUUGGCACUAUGAGCGGAAUGGAAUCUUCACUGUCAGAAGUGCGUAUAAACUGGCUGCCUCAAUCCAAGGUCAGACCCAACUAAUCCCGUCGAGCUCUUCCAGUGAACCAAACUCCAGGAGCAUUUGGGAUCUGAUCUGGAAAGCAAAGGUCCCGCCAAAAGUGAGAAUCUUUGGGUGGCGUGUUGCUACAAAUACGCUGGCCACUAAGAGGAAUAAAUGGAAGAGGACUCUGGAGGUGGAUGCUACAUGCGGUAUAUGUGGCUGUGAAGAGGAAGAUGAGUUCCAUGCGGUGGUCGCUUGCACUAAGAGUAGAGCACUAAGAUAUGAAAUGAGAAAGGAGUGGGAUCUCCCCCCGGAAUGCGCCUUCCAGAAAUCUGGUCCAGACUGGCUGCAGGUGCUCCUAGAUAAAUCCCGGGACAUGCGUGCAAGGGUACUCAUGCUGCUGUGGAGAGGAUGGCACUUGCGCGACAACUGUGUCCAUGGGAAAGGCGAUGAAACUAUCAGACAUUCUGUACUCUUCUCCUAA